rnacentral:rRNA from 1 species
GUGCACGCUGGCGGUAGGCCUAACACAUGCACGUCGAACGGCAGCACAGUAAGAGCUUGCUCUUACGGGUGGCGAGUGGCGGACGGGUGAGGAAUACAUCGGAAUCUACUUUUUCGUGGGGGAUAACGUAGGGAAACUUACGCUAAUACCGCAUACGACCUACGGGUGAAAGCAGGGGAUCUUCGGACCUUGCGCGAUUGAAUGAGCCGAUGUCGGAUUAGCUAGUUGGCGGGGUAAAGGCCCACCAAGGCGACGAUCCGUAGCUGGUCUGAGAGGAUGAUCAGCCACACUGGAACUGAGACACGGUCCAGACUCCUACGGGAGGCAGCAGUGGGGAAUAUUGGACAAUGGGCGCAAGCCUGAUCCAGCCAUACCGCGUGGGUGAAGAAGGCCUUCGGGUUGUAAAGCCCUUUUGUUGGGAAAGAAAAGCAGCAGGUUAAUACCCCGCUGUUCUGACGGUACCCAAAGAAUAAGCACCGGCUAACUUCGUG